UACGUAGGGUGCGAGCGUUGUCCGGAAUUAUUGGGCGUAAAGGGCUCGUAGGCGGUUUGUCGCGUCGGGAGUGAAAACCAGGUGCUUAACACCUGGCUUGCUUUCGAUACGGGCAGACUAGAGGUAUUCAGGGGAGAACGGAAUUCCUGGUGUAGCGGUGAAAUGCGCAGAUAUCAGGAGGAACACCGGUGGCGAAGGCGGUUCUCUGGGAAUGACCUGACGCUGAGACGCGAAAGCGUGGGGAGCAAACAGG
rnacentral:rRNA from 1 species